rnacentral:rRNA from 1 species
UACGUAGGUGGCGAGCGUUAUCCGGAAUGAUUGGGCGUAAAGGGUGCGUAGGCGGUCCGGAAAGUCAGCGGUGAAAUACCGGGGCUCAACCCCGGGGCUGCCGUUGAAACCGGAGCGCUAGAAUUCCGAUGCCGUCGGAGGAAUGUGUGGUGUAGCGGUGAAAUGCAUAGAUAUCACACAGAACACCGAUUGCGAAGGCAUCUGACGAAUCGGAGAUUGACGCUGAUGCACGAAAGCGUGGGUAUCGAACAGG